rnacentral:rRNA from 1 species
AUGGCAGUUACAGAGAUGGCAGUGAGCAUCGGCACCGGAGCCAUCAACUCCGUCAUCAGCAAGCUAAAUGACCUGCUCGGCGACGAGGUCACCAGCCUGGUCGGGACAGCCCUGCUCGGCAAGAAAGUCAAGCUUGGUAUCCAGUACCUGAGAAACGAGCUGAGCAGCAUGAAAGCCGUGCUGCUCAGGCUCUCGGACAUGGAGGAGCACAUGGAACCGCAGACCAGGGAGUGGAGGGACAGGGUCCGGGAUAUGUCGUUCGAGAUCGAGGACUACAUUGACCGCUUCGUGCAGCGCCGCCGCGGCCAUGGAGGCUCCCAGUCCCAGGGGGGUGAUGGUGGCCUCGUCAGCAAGGCCGUGAGAAAGAUCAAGAGUGUGUGGGACGACUUCCAGACUGGCAAGGAGAUCGAUGAGCUCAAAGCCAUGGUAGUCGAGGAGAGCGAGCGGCGCAAUCGGUACAACAUUGACCAGUGCCUCCCGCUGCCUCCACCCCAUGUUCCCUUGGACCAAGCAGGACUACGCACGCAGUACGAGGCGGUCAGAAAUCCGGUGGGCAUUGAUGGCCCCCGGGAGAAAAUAUUUGGGUGGCUGAUGGAGCAAGACGCGAAACCAAACGUGGUGGCCAUCUUUGGGAUUGGAGGCUCCGGCAAGACCACUCUGGCCUUGGAGGUGUACAACAAGAUCCAACAACAGUUUGAUUGCCGGGCUUUCAUCUCUGUUUCUCGAACUCCCGACAUCAAGAGGCUUUUGAAACAUAUCCUCUUUCAAGUCAAUGAAGAAGAGUACAACAACUCAGAAAUGUGGGAUCUGGAGCAGCUGAUACUCAAGCUCAGGGAACACUUGAAAGACAAGAGGUACUUGAUUGUUAUUGAUGAUAUCUGGAGCACAACGGCUUGGCAACAUGUCAAAUUUGCCUUACCUAUUGAUAAUAUCAAACGAAGUAGAAUAAUUGCUACAACACGUAAUAAGAAUGUGGCAACGUCAUGCUGUGCUGACAUGGACGGGCAUAUGUAUGAAGCGAAGCUUCUAACUGUUGAUGAUUCCCGCAGUUUAUUCUUUGGAAGAAUCUUUUCUUCAGGCGAAUGUUGUCCCCAAGAAUUGCGGGAAGUUGCAGAUGAAAUAUUGAAGAAAUGUGGUGGAUUGCCAUUGGCCAUAAUCAGUAUAGGUAGUUUAUUAGCCACCAAAAGUCGAACAGUCGAAGUCUGGUCGAAAAUACGGAAGUCUGUUUCUUCUGCAGUCCAGAAAGAUUGUCCACUUGACCAAAUGAAGAGAAUAUUGCUCCUUAGUUAUCUUGACCUUCCACACCAUUUAAAGGCUUGUUUUUUAUAUCUGAGUGUCUUCCCGGAGGGUUACUACAUUGACAGCAGAUUUUUGAUAUGGAAUUGGAUGGCUGAAGGCUUAAUUGGUGGAGAAAACAGAGAAGAUAUGGAGAGGCUUGGAGAAAGCUAUUUGAAUGAGCUUAUCAAUAGAAGCAUGAUUCAAGCAAGAAAGAUUGGGGCAGAUGGCACAAGAGUGAAAAUCUGCGGAGUCCAUGAUAUUGUGUUGGAUUUUAUUGUAUCUCAAGCUGCGGAAGACAAAUUUGUGACUGUGUUGAUAGAUGGUAAAUACCCUUCAUGGAAGAUUCGCUGGCUAUCCCUCCACUUGAACUCUUCUCAAGCUGCAGAUUUGCCAAUAAAGGAUGCAUCGCAUCUUCGGUCACUCAAUAUAUUUGGACCUAGAGGUAAGCAACUGCCUCAAAAUUGUGAAGCUUUGCGAGUGCUGAAUAUAGAAGGCGUUGUGAAGUCUAAGAAUUGUCACGUUGAACACAUUGGAAGUUUCUAUCAACUGAAGUACCUGAGGAUCAUUGGUUACCAGAUCACAAGUCCCGACACAACCAUAACCGAGCUUCCGGAACAAAUUGGCAAUCUGCAACAUCUAGAGGUAUUAGAUCUUAGAGGUUAUAGAAUUCUGAAACUACCAGCAACUAUUGUUCAAUUAAAGAAACUAGUGUGCCUUUUUCUGGAUGAGAUCUUUACCCCGCUGCCUGAUGGAAUUGGGAAUCUGCAAUGCCUGGAGGAGCUAUCAGGGAUCAAUCUCUGUAAUGCAUCUGUAAGGUCUGUUCAAGGGCUCGGGGAGCUGACCAAACUAAGGGCACUGAAGAUUAAAUGGAUUUUAUGUUUUGAUAGGGUUCUCGAUGAGGAAGAUCACAUGAGAGUGUGUGCGUCAACUCUGUCCAAGCUCGUUGCGAACAGCCUCCGUUCGCUGCACUUCACUGGGAUCAAAAGCUCUGAUUUCUUAAACUCAUGGGUGUUUCCGAGUGGCUCCCCUCCUCCACCUCUCCGGAGGCUCUUCCUGGAGGGGGUUGGAAAUUUUGAUUUCCCCGCCGUACCAAGCCAGAUCAGAUCCCUCAUCAACCUCACCCGCCUUAGCAUCAGAUAUGUUCGUGAAAUGGGAGAAGAAGGUGUCAAUAUCCUCGCCAGUCUACCCAUGCUGCUCUCUCUUACAAUAUUGUUGCUCUACACCCAACGCCAGAGUUGUGUCAUCAGCAGCCAAGGAUUCCAGCGUUUAGUGAAGCUGAACUUUCACGGCGAGACCUGCCUGAUGUUUGAGCCAGGAGCCAUGCCAAAGCUCCAGAGGUUGAAACUAGUUGUGUUCCGAUGGCCAGAGCAGUACAACCCUGGAUUGCUCCACCUUUCAAGCCUCAAGCAUGUCAGUAUCUGGAACUGGAGGCGGGAUCGUGGUGUGGAGGAUUUGAUGGAUGAAAUCAGAAGCGUCCAUCCAAACCAUCCAAUACUGGACAGGAGGGUCUGA